rnacentral:rRNA from 1 species
UACGAAGGGCCCGAGCGUUGAUCGGAUUCACUGGGCUUAAAGGGUGCGUAGGCGGAACGGUAAGUAUCUCGUGAAAUCCCAUGGCUCAACCAUGGAACCGCGGGGUAUACUGUCGUUCUUGAGGUCGGUAGGGGCUGUCGGAACUGUAGGUGUAGCGGUGAAAUGCGUAGAUAUCUACAGGAACGCCAAUGGCGAAGGCAGACAGCUGGGCCGAUUCUGACGCUGAGGCACGAAAGCGUGGGGAGCAAAC